UUAUCGGAGAGUUUGAUCCUGGCUCAGGACGAACGCUGGCGGCGUGCCUAAUACAUGCAAGUCGAGCGGACAGAUGGGAGCUUGCUCCCUGAUGUUAGCGGCGGACGGGUGAGUAACACGUGGGUAACCUGCCUGUAAGACUGGGAUAACUCCGGGAAACCGGGGCUAAUACCGGAUGGUUGUUUGAACCGCAUGGUUCAGACAUAAAAGGUGGCUUCGGCUACCACUUACAGAUGGACCCGCGGCGCAUUAGCUAGUUGGUGAGGUAACGGCUCACCAAGGCGACGAUGCGUAGCCGACCUGAGAGGGUGAUCGGCCACACUGGGACUGAGACACGGCCCAGACUCCUACGGGAGGCAGCAGUAGGGAAUCUUCCGCAAUGGACGAAAGUCUGACGGAGCAACGCCGCGU
rnacentral:rRNA from 2 species